UGUGUCCUUAUAUGGUCUUUCCUUUGUGUGUCUGUAUCCUGAUCUCUUCUUUAGGGACACUAGUCAUAUUGGAUCAGGGCCCACCCUAAUGACCUCAUUUCAAUGUACUCACCUCUUUCCAGGCCCUAUCUCCAAACAACCCGCAUUUCCUCAAAAAUGCGGACUUCAACAUGUCUUUUGGGGGAACAAAGACUUUUGGGGAACAAAGUCUUUGGAGGAACACAGGUCAGACCAUGAUGCCUUGCCCAGCUCACUCCAAACAUGCUGAGCCUCAGUGUCUUCGUCGAUGAAAUGGGGUGGAUCAGAGGGGGCCAUGGACCUCCUGGUACCUCUUCACCCCUUUGCUCACCAGUUUGGUUAUUCCCUCCAGGCUAAACCAUCUGCUAAGGCCACACUGGACCUUGAAAAGAUACUAAUUGUGAGGGUGAUGGCAACUGCGACACCAGCAAUGGCUGUCUCCUCACUCUGUUCCCCACUGAUCCCAGCAUUCCUCAAGGGGCCUCAGCCAUCCAGAUGGUGCCAGGCACAAAUCAACCUACAGGUGCAGACCUGCUCAGAUUAGAUGGAUUGACAGGUGAGGGGGCCAGGGUAGGAACGGCAUGAGAACAGAGUACGUAUGUGUGUGUGUGUGGGUGGGGGGGUGGUGGUGUCAUCAAACACUAUGUGGCAUGAUUGCAAUUAGGGAAAAUAUGUUUGAGAAUGUGCUUGUUCUCAUCUGAGAAUAUUACAUAUUGGAUGGUCAAUAUGUGAAAUAGAAUCUGGAGAGAAACGCACCCAACAGUCACCAGGGGCUGUCCUGGUUGAGGGAGGAAUGGGGAUGAUCAGGUGGUGGCUUGCAAACAUUUUUGAUCCCUCAGGAGAAAUACGCUUCAUUUCAACCACCUGGUACACACACAUACACAUGCUCACACAUACACUCCCACAUACACAUAUGCACACACACUCACUCACACGUGAUAGGUAUAACUGAAGCCAAAGUUGCAGAAACUCCAGCUACCCUAGGUGAAAUGUACGCUGCUAUUCUUACUGUGUUUAUUUUAUUUCAUUCUUCCAAUUAUUGACUUGAUUAUUGACUUGAUUCCAAUUAUUGACAGAUUAUUGACUUGAUCUGAUAAAUUGAUUUCAUGCCCCGCUGCUGGGCCCUGAUUUAUAGUUUGAAAGCUCCUGCUC
rnacentral:lncRNA from 1 species